rnacentral:rRNA from 1 species
AUUGAACGCUGGCGGCAUGCUUUACACAUGCAAGUCGAACGGUAACAGGGAGCUUGCUCCGCUGACGAGUGGCGAACGGGUGAGUAAUGCGUCGGAACGUGCCGAGUAGUGGGGGAUAACGCAUCGAAAGGUGUGCUAAUACCGCAUACGUACUGAGGUAGAAAGUGGGGGACCUUCGGGCCUCACGCUAUUCGAGCGGCCGACGUCUGAUUAGCUAGUUGGUGAGGUAAAGGCUCACCAAGGCGACGAUCAGUAGCGGGUCUGAGAGGAUGAACCGCGACACGGGGACGGAGAAAAGGCCCAGACUCCUACGGGAGGCAGCAGUGGGGAAUUUUGGACAAUGGGCGCAAGCCUGAUCCAGCCAUGCCGCGUGUCUGAAGAGGGCCUUCGGGUUGUAAAGGACUUUUGUCCGGGAGCAAAUGCUGGUGGCUAACAUCCACCGGAGCUGAGAGUACCGGAAGAAUAAGCACCGGCUAACUACGUGCCAGCCGCCGCGGUAACAC